rnacentral:sRNA from 1 species
AUUUUAUCUUUUCAGAGUUCACCCAGGGCAUGAUCUUACCUACAAUGAAUGGAGAGUCAGUAGACCCAGUGGGGCAGCCAGCACUGAAAACCGAGGAGCGCAAGGCUAAGCCUGCUCCUUCAAAAACCCAGGCCAAACCUGUUGGAGUCAAAAUCCCCACUUGUAAGAUCACUCUUAAGGAAACCUUCCUGACGUCACCAGAGGAGCUCUAUAGAGUGUUUACCACCCAGGAGCUGGUGCAGGCCUUUACCCAUGCUCCUGCAACAUUAGAAGCAGACAGAGGUGGAAAGUUCCACAUGGUAGAUGGCAACGUCUCUGGGGAAUUUACUGAUCUGGUCCCUGAAAAACAUAUUGUGAUGAAGUGGAGGUUUAAAUCUUGGCCAGAGGGGCACUUUGCCACCAUCACCUUGACCUUCAUCGACAAGAACGGAGAGACUGAGCUGUGCAUGGAAGGUCGAGGCAUCCCUGCUCCUGAGGAAGAGCGGACGCGACAGGGCUGGCAGCGGUACUACUUUGAGGGCAUUAAACAGACCUUUGGCUAUGGCGCACGCUUAUUUUAGG